rnacentral:pre_miRNA from 1 species
AAUAAUCUUAUUUUUCGUUUUUACGUGUCCAACGUUUGACCAUUAUCUUAUUUGAAAUUAUUUUUGCGAAUAAUAUUGUUAUUGUUACUAGAUGAUAAAAUAUGAAUAGUACUUUAUACGUGACUAAUUUUUUUUAAGUUUUUGUACAAAAUUUUCAAAUAGUGGUUAAACGUUGGACACGAAAAAAC